GGUCCUGUAGCUCAGUUGGUAGAGCAUGGUGUUUGCAACGCCAGGGUUGUGGGUUCGAUUCCCACGGGGGGCCA
rnacentral:tRNA from 1 species